GAAUCCCCUCCCCCACAUCGGUAACGCCCCUAUAGAGUCCCCUCCCCCACCUCGGUAACAUCCCAUAGAGCCCCUCCCCCACAUCGGUAACGCCCCUAUAGAGUCCCCCCGCCACACCCCAUAGAUCCCCUCCCCCACAUCGGUAACACCCCUAUAGAGUCCCCCCGCCACACCCCAUAGAGUCCCCUCCCCCACAUCAGUAACGCCCCUAUAGAGUCCCCUCCCCCACAUCGGUAACACCCCUAUAGAGUCCCCCCGCCACACCCCAUAGAUCUCCUCCCCCACAUCGGUAAUGCCCCUAUAGAGUCCCCCCACCACACCCCAUAGAGUCUCCUCCCCCACCUCGGUAACGCUCCUAUAGAGUCUC